rnacentral:RNase_P_RNA from 1 species
AGUUGGAUGAGUAAUCGCGGCUGUCAUUUGACAGAUGAGGAAAGUCCGGGCUUCAUAGGGCAGGGUGCCGGAUAACGUCCGGUGGAGGCGACUCCCAGGAAAGUGCAACAGAAAUAUACCGCCAUUUAUAUGGUAAGGGUGGAAAGGCGAGGUAAGAGCUCACCGCUGGUCUGGUAACAGAUCAGGCUCUGUAAACCCCACUCGAAGCAAGACCAAACAGUAACCACCGGUUAUGGAGAUGAUACAGUUGCCCGCUGCAUCUUUGGUAGGUCGCUUGAGCUUUAUGGUAACAUAAAGACUAGAUAGAUGAUUACUCUCGACAUAACCCGGCUUAUAGUCCAACUUAU